rnacentral:rRNA from 1 species
GAUGGACGCUGGCGGCGUGCCUAAUACAUGCAAGUCGAGCGAACGGACGAGAAGCUUGCUUCUCCGAUGUUAGCGGCGGACGGGUGAGUAACACGUGGAUAACCUACCUAUAAGACUGGGAUAACUUCGGGAAACCGGAGCUAAUACCGGAUAAUAUUUUGAACCGCAUGGUUCAAAAGUGAAAGACGGUCUUGCUGUCACUUAUAGAUGGAUCCGCGCUGCAUUAGCUAGUUGGUAAGGUAACGGCUUACCAAGGCAACGAUGCAUAGCCGACCUGAGAGGGUGAUCGGCCACACUGGACCUGAGACACGGUCCAGACUCCUAAGGGAGGCAGCAGUAGGGAAUCUUCCGCAAUGGGCGAAAGCCUGACGGAGCAACGCCGCGUGAGUGAUGAAGGUCUUCGGAUCGUAAAACUCUGUUAUUAGGGAAGAACAUAUGUGUAAGUAACUGUGCACAUCUUGACGGUACCUAAUCAGAAAGCCACGGCUAACUACGUG